UAUACCGUGAAACUGCGAAUGGCUCAUUAAAUCAGUUAUCGUUUAUUUGAUAGUACCUUACUACUUGGAUAACCGUGGUAAUUCUAGAGCUAAUACAUGCUAAAAACCCCGACUUCGGGAGGGGUGUAUUUAUUAGAUAAAAAACCAAUGCCCUUCGGGGCUCUUUGGUGAUUCAUGAUAACUUAACGGAUCGCAUGGCCUUGCGCCGGCGACGGUUCAUUCAAAUUUCUGCCCUAUCAACUUUCGAUGGUAAGGUAUUGGCUUACCAUGGUUUCAACGGGUAACGGGGAAUUAGGGUUCGAUUCCGGAGAGGGAGCCUGAGAAACGGCUACCACAUCCAAGGAAGGCAGCAGGCGCGCAAAUUACCCAAUCCCGACACGGGGAGGUAGUGACAAUAAAUACUGAUACAGGGCUCUUUUGGGUCUUGUAAUCGGAAUGAGUACAAUUUAAACCCCUUAACGAGGAACAAUUGGAGGGCAAGUCUGGUGCCAGCAGCCGCGGUAAUUCCAGCUCCAAUAGCGUAUAUUAAAGUUGUUGCAGUUAAAAAGCUCGUAGUUGAACCUUGGGCCUGGCUGGCCGGUCCGCCUCACCGCGUGCACUGGUCCGGCCGGGCCUUUCCUUCUGGAGAGCCUCAUGCCCUUUACUGGGUGUGUAGGGGAACCAGGACUUUUACUUUGAAAAAAUUAGAGUGUUCAAAGCAGGCCUUUGCUCGAAUACGUUAGCAUGGAAUAAUAGAAUAGGACGUGCGGUCCUAUUUUGUUGGUUUCUAGGACCGCCGUAAUGAUUAAUAGGGAUAGUCGGGGGCAUCAGUAUUCAAUUGUCAGAGGUGAAAUUCUUGGAUUUAUUGAAGACUAACUACUGCGAAAGCAUUUGCCAAGGAUGUUUUCAUUAAUCAGUGAACGAAAGUUAGGGGAUCGAAGACGAUCAGAUACCGUCGUAGUCUUAACCGUAAACUAUGCCGACUAGGGAUCGGRCGAUGUUUCUAUCUUGACUCGCUCGGCACCUUACGAGAAAUCAAAGUUUUUGGGUCUGG
rnacentral:rRNA from 1 species